CGUCCUCAAACACCCAACUUCUAUAUGUUGACUCCGCUCUGGUCUCAAACCCGA
rnacentral:rRNA from 1 species